UACGUAGGGGGCAAGCGUUGUCCGGAUUUAUUGGGCGUAAAGCGCUCGCAGGUGGUUGGUCGCGUCGUGCGUGAAAGACCCCGGCUCAACUGGGGAGGGUCGUGCGAUACGGGCUAACUGGAGGCCAGUAGGGGGAUGCGGAAUUCCGGGUGUAGUGGUGGAAUGCGUAGAGAUCCGGAGGAACACCAGCGGCGAAGGCGGCAUCCUGGACUGGUCCUGACACUCAGGAGCGAAAGCGUGGGGAGCGAUCCGG
rnacentral:rRNA from 1 species